CCUACGGGUGGCAGCAGUAGGGAAUAUUGCUCAAUGGGGGAAACCCUGAUGCAGCAACGCCGCGUGGAUGAUGAAGGUUUUCGGUUUGUAAACUCCUUUUGUUAGAGAAGAUAAUGACGGUAUCUAACGAAUAAGCCCCGGCUAACUCCGUGCCAGCAGCCGCGGUAAUACGGAGGGUGCAAGCGUUAUUCGGAAUCACUGGGCGUAAAGAGCGCGUAGGCGGGAUAGCAAGUCAGAUGUGAAAGCCUAUGGCUUAACCAUAGAACUGCAUUUGAAACUGUGAUACUAGAGUAGGGGAGAGGUAAGUGGAAUUCGUGGUGUAGGGGUAAAAUCCGUAGAGAUCAAGAGGAAUACUCGUGGCGAAGGCGACCUGCUAGAACAUAACUGACGCUGAUGCGCGAAAGCGUGGGGAGCAAACAGGAUUGGAUACCCCUGUAGUC
rnacentral:rRNA from 1 species